AGUCACAAAAUGCGAAAAGCGCGGACGGUUGUGCUGUCCGUCGGUCUGCUGGUGCUGAUUUCCCAACUGGGUACAAUUUUCGCGUGGAAAUAUAAAUAUUAUAAAGGAAUACUCCUGCUUUCGAUGGACCUGUGCGCUAACAGGUGCAAGCUGAAACAUGGGUUCUUCAAAGACAGUAACGGCGUCUAUCAACCGGCUUCUGUGGCGAAGAGAUACGUCAUCAAGUGCCAGUGCAUGGUUUCUCGCCAGCUCAAGACAUACAUCAAGAAAAGAUGGGGUAAAACGGCAUCAAAAUGGUACAGCUUCUACAACUUCUUCGGGAUGAAGAAGCGGUCGCAGAAGUACCUGCAGAAGCGCAUCGUGAAAGAAAAGAAAACGAAGAAAACAUUUGUCGAAGAAAUCGAGUUCAUAACGUACGAAAAGCUGCGGGGAAUGAUGGAGAAACCGAGGAGAUCAAGAGGAGUUGGAGUUCGGGUUCAAGCUCUUCCUCCCAGACAGGGAGACUGCCCUCCAACGAAGCAAUCAAGAACACGAAGCUAGAGAUUGAGAUUCAGACUUACGGGGAGGACGGAAAGCCAAUACCGGGUAAGCGAAAAGUGGCUCUGAACUCCGCGGAGGGUGAGCAAUUCCAAGACCUGCUCCGGGAUGUGGUGGGGAGGAUCAGGAGAGAAGAUGGUGAGGCAUCGAUAGCAAGUGUGGCGGUGACUCGGACCACGUCGUCGAAGAUAACUUGCGGCCACGUUUGAUAUGACUCACAGGCUCUGCCGCGAUAGCGAAGGCAGCAGUGCGUGCAAAAAUGGCUUCUUUCAAUAAAAGUUUCCUGUCAGACAGACUCAAAACUCUUUUUCGCACUUACUGCUCUCUCCCGCUAUCACGGCAGAAUGAAAGAGCGGUUACCAAUCUUCGUGAUUUUAUGGAUUCCCAAAAGACCACAACUGCCGUGAUAGCGAGGAGAGCAGUGAGUGCAAAAAUGGCUUCUCUCAAUGAAAGUUCCCUGGCAGACGCUUCUGAGCCAGAUUUCUCAAAACUCUUUCUUGCACUUACUGCUCUCUCUGCUAUCGCGGCAGAAUGAAAGAGCGGUUACCAAUCUUCGUGAUUUUAUGGAUUCCCAAAAGACCACGACUGCCGUGAUAGCGAGGAGAGCAGUGAGUGCAAAAAUGGCUUCUUUCAAUAAAAUUUUCCUGUCAGACAGACGCUUCUGAGCCAGAUUUCUCAAAACUCUUUUUCGCACUUACUGCUCUCUACGCUAUCACGGCAGAAUGAAAGAGCGGUUACCAAUCUUCGUGAUUUUAUGGAUUCCCAAAAGACCACAACUGCCGUGAUAGCGAGGAGAGCAGUGAGUGCAAAAAUGGCUUCUUUCAAUGAAAGUUCCCUGGCAGACGCUUCUGAGCCAGAUUUCUCAAAACUCUUUCUUGCACUUACUGCUCUCUCUGCUAUCGCGGCAGAAUGAAAGAGCGGUUACCAAUCUUCGUGAUUUUAUGGAUUCCCAAAAGACCACGACUGCCGUGAUAGCGAGGAGAGCAGUGAGUGCAAAAAUGGCUUCUUUCAAUGAAAGUUCCCUGGCAGACGCUUCUGAGCCAGAUUUCUCAAAACUCUUUCUUGCACUUACUGCUCUCUCUGCUAUCGCGGCAGAAUGAAAGAGCGGUUACCGAUCUUUGUGAUCUUAUGGAUUCCCAAAAGACCACAACUGCCGUGAUAGCGAGGAGAGCAGUGAGUGCAAAAAUGGCUUCUUUCAAUAAAAUUUUCCGGUCAGACGCUUCUGAACCCGUUUUCUCAAAACUUAAUUUUUGCACUUACGGCUCUUUUCGCUAUCACGGCAGUAUAGAGGGCCAUUGGGAAUCCAUAAAAUCAUGAAGAUUGGAAACAGCUCUUUUUUGCUGCCGUGCUAGCGAAGAGAACAUGGAGUGCAAACAAGCAGGAAGCUCCAACGCAUUCGCGUCGGAGAGCGGCUCUGGCGACAGUAGUUGUAGUCAAGAAUGAGGGCCUAGACACAUUUUGUCACUGAUGUACAAUCCGACAACUGUCGAUUCAUGUUUUGUAACUUAGCAGAUUUACGUAGCCGGUGUAUAAAUGUGUAUUGGCCCUUGAUAUGCAGAAUGCAUGGCACUAUCACUUGUUGUAUACUUUUAAUUUUGAAGGCUCUUUGGAGGUCCGCAUCCUAAAAAAUCUCUCCCACAGUAUUUUUUUUAACUUGUCGUUGUGAUUGGGCGCCAAUUUCUUUCAAUUGAGUGAUCAUCUUCUUUUUUUGUCAAAUAACUAGUUUGUGCAACAAUAAGACUGAAACUGACUGUAACUGAAAUUUUGUCUUUUUAGAUAUUUGGUUAUUUGUAUUUAUUAGAUUUUAUAUUUUCACAGCCCUGUGAUAAGAAACUUUGGAAUGCAUGGUUGAUAAGUCGUUUAGCGAGGCUGCAAAAAAUUUGCAUUUUUAUAUCUGAAAUUGUAGGUAAUGGUUUUGAAUAUCGAAUUGCGAUAUAUUACACGGUUAAGAUAGGGCUAUAUGUCUUGUCGUAAGCGGCGACAUAGAGUCGAUGUCAUUUCAAUAAUCGCCCCGAUGGCCACGGUAGUUGUGUGCCGUCUGCCCACGUAGCAAAUGGGAGGCGAAAAUGGAAGUCAUCAGUGCAUCGGUGAGUGUUGAACGUGAAAAUUGCGCGGGCCGCGCAAAUUUCGCGAUCAUCGAUGUGUCGGGGCUGAGCAUCCAUCAUUUUCUAUCUUGUUUUGAAGCUAUGUGAGUUGUGAUAAAGUACAUAAUUUUUUUGUAUUAUAUUACUGUAUAAAUAGUGUAAAAUUUGUACAGAACUUUGUACAAAAUAGUUUCUUGUAAAAAGUGUGUAAAAAGUCUUGUAAAAAGCCACGUCGUUUCCAUACAAACUCCCAAUACGCCGCAAGUACCACAAAUGCCCAUGUUAACCAAAUCACCUCAUCAUCCAUUUUUUAAGGACACAAUUUUUAAUUCAAAUCAACUUACUUUAUCAAAACUCCAAUCGUUUAUCAAAUAACAUAUAUCGAGUCAUUUUAACAAAAUCAAAGACGGCAUAAUAUCAUUUAUCACACAGCCAAAAACCUAACCUAGAAACCACGAUGUUUACAAACUCAAAUUGGAGAACACUCAUUGGUCCAAUAAUAAAAAUUGAUUUGCCGCCUUUUUUCUUUGCAAGCAAAACGUGUGAACAUGUCUGAAAAUGGGAUCGGGCGUCAACACUCAACGAUGCACUGAUGACUUCCAUUUUCGCCUCCCAUUUGCUACGUGGGCAGACGGCAUUAGACGUUUACGGUUUCCUUGGUAACCUUUGUUUGCUAUCAGCUGAUAUCGAGUAAUAUGACUAGGAAGCUCCAACCCAGUGGUUGGAGCUUCCUUAACCGCGAAAACUUUAAAAUUCAAAUUUUCAAAUUUUGAACGUAAAGUACAUUUUUUCCAUCACGAGAUUAAAGCACAGACAAGUUUUGAAUUAUUGACUGUAUCACCAUGAUUCCAAAAAUACACUACACAACAUAGCAUUGGCUAACAAUAAAACAAUAUGCAAUAAAAUAAAGUCAUGACAAGGAACAUAGCCGAAAAUGGCGCCGAUUCCCAUUAACCAACGCGCGGUCUCUACAAUGUAACAUGCUGCAUUGAUACUCCCAAGCUGGGACCGUCCGGAAUAGCAGCUCUAGUGCAAGCACCAGAGCCGCUAAAAUGGCUUCUUUCAACGAAAUUUUCCGGUCAGACGCUUCUCAGCCCGUUUUCUCAAAACUCUAUUUUUGCAUAUAUACUGCUCUCUUCGCUAUCACGGCAGAAUGAAAGAGCGGUUUCCGAUUUUCAUGAUUUUAUGGCUUCCCAAAAGACCACAACUGCCGUGAUAGCGAGGAGAGCCGUAAACGCAAAAAUGAAGUUUUGAGAAAACGGGCUCGGGAGCGUCUGACCGGAAAAUUUUAUUGAAAAAAAAAAAAACCUCCGUUCUUUCUCAAAUUGUCACUAAUCACCUGAAAGACUCUUAGAAAUAGCUUAGCAGAUUGAAAAUCGACCGAUUUUAUUUCGAUUACAUAAAAAGGGUGCUUUGCAUUUUCAUGUUAGGCUAGAGUUAGGCAAGACAGCCGUAAGUAAUAUCGUCUAUAUGCUUUCGUGGUUGCGUUAUGGAUACACAAGCAAUCCUAAAACAUGUAACUAAACAAACUGUCAUGUAAAGCGUAAUUACUUCUAGUCUUGUCUCGUGAAUUGUACGUCUCCUUCGCAAUAAAGACAAUUUUCCUAUGCUUCUGUCUGAAAUUAGAGUAUUCUUAUUGAAAAAAUACAUAGCGAAAACCCAAAGAAAAAAGUAUGCCGUUUUUCCAAAGGACUACUUCGCGCAUGGUAUGCCCGCGUAUUCCCACGCGAAAUCAUAACCACUCUUUAAUUUUCUAGCGAGAUGUGGGAAUUUUC
rnacentral:lncRNA from 1 species